rnacentral:rRNA from 1 species
UGUCAACUAGUUGUCGGAUCUNUUUAGACUUNGUAUCGNAGNUAACGCGUGAAGUUGACCGCCUGGGAAGUACGAUCGCAAGAUUAAAACUCAAAGGAAUUGACGGGGACCCGCACAAGCGGUGGAUUAUGUGGAUUAAUUCGAUGCAACGCGAAAAACCUUACCUACCCUUGACAUGCUUGGAAUCUAAUGGAGACAUAAGAGUGCCCGAAAGGGAGCCAAGACACAGGUGCUGCAUGGCUGUCGUCAGCUCGUGUCGUGAGAUGUUGGGUUAAGUCCCGCAACGAGCGCAACCCUUGUCACUAAUUGCUAUCAUUUUUAAUGCGCACUUUAGUGAGACUGCCGGUGACAAACCGGAGGAAGGUGGGGAUGACGUCAAGUCCUCAUGGCCCUUAUGGGUAGGGCUUCACACG